rnacentral:lncRNA from 1 species
AACAAACUGAUGAAAGAAUGAUCAAACCGAGGGAAUUCACUCAGAACUAACAAUAAUGAUAACGUGCUCCGACUGGUGCGGUUUAGGAACUGCUGGAAGGCUCUAGGGGAAUAAAGAUGGAAUGACUUCUAAUUUUUAGGUCCGUAUGAUUUGAAAUACUUGCACACAAACCGCGCGAAAGCGUUCCUGGAAAUCUCAGCCCAAAAAAGGACGUUUAGUAAUUUUAAAAGGGACUAUAGGAUGAAAAACAAUAGUUUUGGCAAUUAAAGUUUGAGAUUCGACGGUGUCGUAGAUCCGUUUGGUCAUCAGGUGUUACGAGCCACACCCAUGUCUAGCUAGAAUAGUAUGUCAGGCUCAGGUUAGAGUAGAAACGGGGAACAAACUGAUGAAAGAAUGAUCAUACCAAGGGAAUUCACUCAGAACUAUCAAGAAUGAUAACGUGCUCCGACUGGAGUGAUUUAGGAACUGCUGGAAGGCUCUAGGGGAAUAAAGAUGGAAUGACUUCUAAUUUUUACGUCCGUAUGAUUUGAAAUACUUGCACACAAAUCACGCAAAAGCGUUCCUGGAAAUCUCAGCCUAAAAAAGGACGUUUAGUAAUUCUAAAAGGGACUACAGGAUGAAAAACAAUAGUUUGGGCAGUUAAAAUUUGAGAUUCGACGGUGCCGUAGAUCCGUUUGGUCAUCAGGUGUUACGAGCGACACCCUUGUCUAGCUAGAAUAGUGUGUUAGGCUCAGACUAGAGAAGAAACGGGGAACAAAGUGAUGAAAGAAUGAUCAUACCGAGGGAAUUCACUCAGAACUAACAAGAAUGAUAACGUGCUCCGACUGGAGCGGUUUAGUAACUGCUGGAAGGCUCUAGGGGAAUGAAGAUGGAAUGACUUCUAAUUUUUAGGUCCGUAUGAUUUGAAAUACAUGCACACAAACCCUGAGAAAGCGUUCCUGGAAAUCUCGGUCGAAAAAAGGAUGUUUAAUAAUUCUAAAAGGGACUACCGGAUGAAAAACAAUAGUUUUGGCAGUUAAAGUUUGUGAUUCGAUGGUGCCGUAGAUCUGUUUGGUCAUCAGGUGUUACGAGCCACACCCAUGUCUAUCUAGAAUAGUGUGUUAGGCUCAGGCUAGAGCAGAAACGGGGAACAGACUUAUGAAAGAAUGAUCAUACCGAGGGAAUUCACUCAGAACUAACAAGAAUGAUAACGUGCUCCGACUGGCGCGGUUUAGGAACUGCUGGAAGGCUCUAGGGGAAUAAAGAUGGAAAGACUUCUAAUUUUUAGGUCCGUAUGAUUUGAAAUACUUGCACACAAACCGCACGAAAGCGUUCCUGGAAAUCUCAGCCUAAAAAGGAUGUUUAGUAAUUCUAAAAGGGACUACAAGAUGAAAAAUAAUAGUUUGGGCAGUUAAAAUUUGAGAUUCGACGAUGCCGUAGAUCCGUUUGGUCAUCAGGUGUUAUGAGCCACACCCAUGUCUAGCUAGAAUAGUGUGUUAGGCUCAGGCUAGAGAAGAAACGGGGAACAAACUGAUGAAAGAAUGAUCAUACCGAGGGAAUUCACUCAGAACUAACAAGAAUGAUAACGUGCUCCGACUGGAGCAGUUUAGAAACUGCUGGAAGGCUCUAAUGGAAUAAAGAUGGAAUGCCUUCAAAUUUCUAGGUCCGUAUGAUUUGAAAUACUUGCACACAAACCGCUCGAAAGCGUUCCUGGAAAUCUCAGCCCAAAAAAGGACGUUUAGUAAUUCUAAAAGGGACUACAGGAUGAAAAACAAUAGUUUUGGCAGUUAAAGUUUGAGAUUCGAUGGUGCCGUAGAUCCGUUUGGUCAUCAGGUGUAACGAGCCACACACAUGUCUAGCUAGAGUAGUGUGCUAGGCUCAGACUAGAGAAGAAACGGGGAACAAAGUGAUGAAAGAAUGAUCAUACCGAGGGAAUUCACUCAGAACUUACAAGAAUGAUAACGUGCUCCGACUGGAGCGCUUUAGUAACUGCUGGAAGGCUCUAGGCGAAUAAAGAUGGAAUGACUUCUAAUUUUUAGGUCCGUAUGAUUUGAAAUACUUGCACACAAACCACGCAAAACCGUUCCUAGAAAUCUCGGUCGAAAAAAGGACGUUUAGUAAUUCUAAAAGGGACUACAGGAUGAAAAACAAUAGUUUUGGCAGUUAAAGUUUGAGAUUCGAUGGUGCCGUAGAUCCGUUUGGUCAUCAGGUGUUACGAGCCACACCCAUGUCUAGCUAGAGUAGUGUGCUAGGUUCAGACUAGAGAAGAAACGGGGAACAAAGUGAUUAAAGAAUGAUCAUACCGAGGGAAUUCACUCAGAACUAACAAGAAUGAUAACGUGCUCCGACUGGAGCGGUUUAGGAACUGCUGGAAGGCUCUAGGGGAAUAAAGAUGGAAUGACUUCUAAUUUUUACGUCCGUAUGAUUUGAAAUACAUGCACACAAACCACGCAAAAGCGUUCCUGGAAAUCUCAGCCUAAAAAAGGACGUUUAGUAAUUCUAAAAGGGACUACAGGAUGAAAAAUAAUAGUUUGGGCAGUUAAAAUUUGAGAUUCGACGCUGCCGUAGAUCCGUUUGGUCAUCAGGUCUUACGAGCCACACCCAUGUCUAGCUAGAAUAGUGUGUUAGGCUCAGGCUAGAGAAGAAACGGGGAACAAACUGAUGAAAGAAUGAUCAUACCGAGGGAAUUCACUCAGAACUAACAAGAAUGAUAACGUGCUCCGACUGGAGCAGUUUAGAAACUCCUGGAAGGCUCUAGGGGAAUAAAGAUGGAAUGACUUCAAAGUUUUAGGUCCGUAUGAUUUGAAAUACUUGCACACAAACCGCGUGAAAGCGUUCCUGGAAAUCUCAACCCAAAAAAGGGCGUUUAGUAAUUCUAAAAGGGACUACAGGAUGUAAAACAAUAGUUUUGGCAGUUAAAGUUUGAGAUUCGAUGGUGCCGUAGAUCCGUUUGGUCAUCAGGUGUAACGAGCCACACCCAUGUCUAGCUAGAGUAGUGUGCUAGGCUCAGACUAGAGAAGAAACGGGGAACAAAGUGAUGAAAGAAUGAUCAUACCGAGGGAAUUCACUCAUAACUAACAAGAAUGAUAACGUGCUCUGACUUGAGCGGUUUAGGAACUGCUGGAAGGCUAUAGGGGAAUAAAGAUGGAAUGACUUCAAAUUUUUAGGUCCGUAUGAUCUGAAAUACUUGCACACAAACCGCGAGAAAGCGUUCCUGGAAAUCUCAACCCAAAAAAGGACGUUUAGUAAUUCUAAAAGGGACUACAGGAUGAAAAACAAUAGUUCUGGCAGUUAUUGUUUGAGAUUCGAUAAUCUCGUAGAUCCGUUUGGUCAUCAGGUGUAACGAGCCACACCCAUGUCUAGCUAGAGUAGUGUGCUAGGCUCAGACUAGAGAAGAAACGGGGAACAAACUGAUGAAAGAAUGAUCAUACCGAGGGAAUUCACUUAGAACUAACAAGAAUGAUAACGUGCUCCGACUGGAGCGGUUUAGGAACUGCUGGAAGGCUCUAGGGGAAUAAAGAAGGAACGACUUCUAAUUUUUAGGUCCGUAUGAUUUGAAAUAUGUGCACACAAACCACGAGAAAGCGUUCCUAGAAAUCUCGGCCCAAAAGAGGACGUUUAGUAUUCUAAAAGGGACUACAGAAUGAAAAACAAUAGUUUUGGCAGUUAAAGUUUGAGAUUUGACGGUGCCGUAGAUCUGUUUGGUCAUCAGGGGUUACGAGCCACACCCAUGUCUAGCUAGAAUAGUGUGUUAGGCUCAGGCUAGAAAAGAAACGGGGAACAAAGUGAUGAAAGAAUGAUCAUACCGAGGGAAUUCACUCAGAACUAACAAGAAUGAUAACAUGCUCCGACUGGAGCGGUUUAGGAACUGCUGGAAGGCUCUAGGGGAAUAAAGAUGGAAUGACUUCUAAUUUUUAGGUCCGUAUGAUUUGAAAUACUUGCACACAAACCGCGCGAAAGCGUUCCUGGAAAUCUCAGCCCAAAAAAGGACGUUUAGUAAUUCUAAAAGGGACUACAGGAUGAAAAACAAUAGUUUUGGCAGUUAAAGUAUGAGAUUCAACGGUGCCGUAGAUCCGUUUGGUCAUUAGGUGUUACGAGCCACACCCAUGUCUAGCUAGAAUAGUGUGCUAGGCUCAGGCUAGAGAAGAAACGGGGAACAAACUGAUGAAAGAAUGAUCAAACCGAGGGAAUUCACUCAGAACUAACAAUAAUGAUAACGUGCUCCGACUGGAGCGGUUUAGGAACUGCUGGAAGUCUCUAGGGGAAUAAAGAUGGAAUGACUUCUAAUUUUUACGUUCGUAUGAUUUGAAAAACUUGCCCAUAAACCGCGCGAAAGUGUUCCUGGAAAUCUCAGCCCAAAAAAGGACGUUUAGUAAUUUUAAAAGGGACUACACGAUGAAAAACAAUAGUUUUGGCAGGUAAAGUUUGAGAUUCGACAGUGCCGUAGAUCCGUUUGGUCAUCAGGUGUUACGAGCCACACCCAUGUCUAGCUAGAAUAGUAUGUUACGCUCAGGUUAGAGAAGAAACGGGGAACAAACUGAUGAAAGAUGAUCAUACCAAGGGAAUUCACUCAGAACUAACAAGAAUGAUAACGUGCUCCGACUGGAGCGGUUUAGGAACUGCUGGAAGGCUCUAGGGGAAUAAAGAUGGAAUGACUUCUAAUUUUUACGUCUGUAUGAUUUGAAAUACUUGCACACAAACAACGCAAAAGCAUUCCUGGAAAUCUCAUCCUAAAAAAGGACGUUUAGUAAUUCUAAAAGGGACUACAGGAUGAAAAAUAAUAGUUUGGGAAGUUAAAAUUUGAGAUUCGAUAGUGCCGUAGAUCCGUUUGGUCAUCAGGUGUUAGGAGCCACACCCAUGUCUAGCUAGAAUAGUGUGUUAGGCUCAGGCUAGAGAAGAAACAGGGAACAAACUGAUGAAAGAAUGAUCAUACCGAGGGAAUUCACUCAGAACUAGCAAGAAUGAUAACGUGCUCCGACUGGAGCAGUUUUGAAACUGCUGGAAGGCUCUAGGGGAAUAAUGAUGGAAUGACUUCUAAGUUUUUGGUCCGUAUGAUUUGAAAUACGUGCACACAAACCCAGAGAAAGUGUUCUUGGAAAUCUCGGCCGAAAAAAGGAUGUUUAAUAAUUCUAAAAGGGACUACAGGAUGAAAAACAAUAGUUUUGGCAGUUAAAGUUUGUGAUUCGAUGGUGCUGUAGAUCUGUUUGGUCAUCAGGUGUUAUGAGCCACACCCAUGUCUAGCUAGAACAGUGUGUUAGGCUCAGGCUAGAGCAGAAACGGGGAACAAACUUAUGAAAGAAUGAUCAUACCGAGGGAAUUCACUCAGAACUAACAAGAAUGAUAACGUGCUCCGACUGGAGAGGUUUAGGAACUGCUGGAAGGCUCUAGGGGAAUAAAGAUGGAAUGACUUCAAAUUUUUAGGUCUGUAUGAUCUGAAAUACUUGCACACAAACCGCGAGAAAGCGUUCCUGGAAAUCUCAGCCCAAAAAAGGACGUUUAGUGAUUCUAAAAGGGACUACGGGAUAAAAAACAAUAGUUUUGGCAGUUAAAGUUUGAGAUUCGAUAAUGCCGUAGAUCCGUUUGGUCAUCAGGUGUAACGAGCCACACCCAUGUCUAGCUAGAGUAGUGUGCUAGGCUCAUACUAGAGAAGAAAUGGGGAACAAACUGAUGAAAGAAUGAUCAUACCGAGGGAGUUCACUCAAAACUAACAUGAAUGAUAACGUGCUCCGACUGGAGCGGUUUAGGAACUGCUGGAAGGCUCUAGGGGAAUAAAGAUGGAAUGACUUCUAAUUUUUAGGUCCGUAUGAUUUGAAAUACAUGCACACAAACCCCAAGAAAGCGUUCCUGGAAAUCUCGCCCCGAAAAACGACGUUUAGUAAUUCUAAAAGGGACUAUAGGAUGAAAAACAAUAGUUUUGGCAGUUAAAGUUUGAGAUUUGACGGUGCCGUAGAUCUGUUUGGUCAUCAGGUGUUACGAGCCACACCCAUUUCUAGCUAGAAUAGUGUGUUAGGCUCAGGCUAGAAAAGAAACGGGGAACAAAGUGAUGAAAGAAUGAUCAUACCGAGGGAAUUCACUCAGAACUAACAAGAAUGAUAACAUGGUCCGACUGGAGCGGUUUAGGAACUGCUGGAAGGCUCUAGGGGAAUAAAGAUGGAAUGACUUCUAACUUUUAGGUCCGUAUGAUUUGAAUUACUUGCACACAAACCGCGCGAAAGCGUUCCUGGAAAUCUCAGCCCAAAAAAGGACGUUUAGUAAUUCUAAAAGGGACUACAGGAUGAAAAACAAUAGUUUUGGCAGUUAAAGUUUGAGAUUCGACGGUGCCGUAGAUCCGUUUGGUCAGCAGGUGUUACGAGCCACACCCAUGUCUAGCUAGAGUAGUGUGCUAGGUUCAGACUAGAGAAGAAAUGUUGGGGAACGUAGCAGAAAUUCAAAAUUUUCCUACGUGUCACCAAGAUCUAUCUAUGGAGAGACUAGCAACGAGGGAAGGAGAGUGCAUCUACAUACCCUUGUAGAUCGCUAAGCGGAAGCGUUCAAGUGAACGGGGUUGAUGGAGUCGUACUCGUCGUGAUUCAGCUCACCGAUGAUCCUAGUGCCGAACGGACGGCACCUCCGCGUUCAACACACGUACAGCUCGACGAUGUCUCCCACGCCUUGAUCCAGCAAGGAGAGAGGGAGAGGUUGAGGAAGACUCCAUCCAGCAGAAGCACAACGGCGUGGUGGUGAUGGAGGAGCAUGGCAAUCCUGCAGGGCUUCGCCAAGCACCUAUGGGAGAGGAGGAGGUGUCACGGGAGGGAGGGAGGCGCCAAGGGCUCAGGUAUAGAUGCCCUCCCUCCCCUCCACUAUAUAUAGGGGCAAGGGAGAGGGGGGAGGCGCAGCCUUGCCCCUUCCUCCAAGGAAGGGGUGCGGCUAAGAGGGGGGGAGGAGUCCAUCCUCCCCAAGGCACCUCGGAGGUGCCUUCCCCCUUUAGGACUCUCCCCUUUUUCCUAUAUCUUGGCGCAUGGGCCUCUAGGGGCUGGUUCCCUUGGCCCAUGUAGGCCCAGGCGCACCCCCUACAGCCCAUGUGGCCCCCCGGGGCAGGUGGCCCCACCUGGUGGGCCCCCGGGACCCUUCCGGUGGUCCCGGUACAAUACCGAUGACCCCGAAACUUGUCCCGAUGGCCGAAACAGGACUUCCUAUAUAUAAAUCUUUACCUCCGGACAAUUCCGGAACUCCUCGUGACGUCCGGGAUCUCAUCCGGGACUCCGAACAACAUUCGGUAACCACAUACAAACUUCCUUUAUAACCCUAGCGUCAUCGAACCUUAAGUGUGUAGACCCUACGGGUUCGGGAGACAUGUAGUCAUGACCGAGAUGUUCUCCGGUCAAUAACCAACAGCGGGAUCUGGAUACCCAUGUUGGCUCCCACAUGUUCCACGAUGAUCUCAUCGGAUGAACCACGAUGUCAAGGACUCAAUCAAUCCCGUAUACAAUUCCCUUUGUCUAGCGGUAUGGUACUUGCCCGAGAUUCGAUCGUCGGUAUACCGAUACCUUGUUCAAUCUCGUUACCGGCAAGUCUCUUUACUCAUUUCGUAACACAUCAUCCCGUGAUCAACCCCUUGGUCACAUUGUGCACAUUAUGAUGAUGUCCUACCGAGUGGGCCCAGAGAUACCUCUCCGUUUACACGGAGUGACAAAAUCCCAAUCUCGAUUCGUGCCAACCCAACAGACACUUUCAGAGAUACCCGUAGUGUACCUUUACAGCCACCCAGUUACGUUGUGACGUUUGGCACACCCAAAGCACUCCUACAGUAUCCGGGAGUUGCACAAUCUCAUGGUCUAAGGAAAUGAUACUUGACAUUAGAAAAGCUUUAGCAUACGAACUACAUGAUCUUGUGCUAGGCUUAGGAUUGGGUCUUGUCCAUCACAUCAUUCUCCUAAUGAUGUGAUCCCGUUAUCAACGACAUCCAAUGUCCAUGGUCAGGAAACCGUAACCAUCUAUUGAUUAACGAGCUAGUCAACUAGAGGCUUACUAGGGACAUGGUGUUGUCUAUGUAUCCACACAUGUAUCUAAGUUUCCUAUCAAUACAAUUCUAGCAUGGAUAAUAAACGAUUAUCAUGAACAAGGAAAUAUAAUAAUAAUCAAUUUAUUAUUGCCUCUAGGGCAUAUUUCCAACAGUCUCCCACUUGCACUAGAGUCAAUAAUCUAGUUCACAUCGAUAUGUGAUUAACACUCAAGGUCACAUUCCCAUGUGACUAACACCCAAGAGUUUACUAGAGUCAAUAAUCUAGUUCACAUUUACCAUGUGAUUAACACUUGAUGAGUUCUGGGUUUGAUCAUGUUAUGCUUGUGAGAGAGGUUAUAGUCAACGGGUCUGAACCUUUCAGAUCCGUGUGUGCUUUACAAAUCUCUAUGUCAUCUCCUAGAUGCAGCUACCACGUUCUAUUUGGAGCUAUUCCAAAUAACUGUUCUACUUGGAGCUAUUCUAAAUUGUUGCUCCAUUAUACGUAUCCGGUAUCUCUACUCAGAGCUAUCCGGAUAGGUGUUAAGCUUGCAUCGACGUAACCCUUUACGACGAACUCUUUUACCACCUCCAUAAUUGAGAAAAUUCCUUAGUCCACUAGUUACUAAGGAUAACUUUGACCGCUGUCCUGUGAUCCAUUCUUGGAUCACUCUUGUACCCCUUGACUGACUCAUGGUAAAGCACACUUCAGGUGCGGUACACAGCAUAGCAUACUGUAGAGCCUAUGUCUUAAGCAUAGGGGACGACCUUCGUUCCUUUCUCUCUAUUCUGCCAUGGUCGAGCUUUAAGUCUUAACUUCAUACCUUACAACUCAGGCAAGAACUCCUUCUUUGACUGAUCCAUCUUGAACACCUUCAAGAUCACGUCAAGGCAUGUGCUCACGUCAAGAUCACGUCGGUAUACCGAUACCUUGUUCAAUCUCGUUACCGGCAAGUCUCUUUACUCGUUCCGUAACACAUCAUCCCGUGAUCAACCCCUUGGUCACAUUGUGCACAUUAUGAUGAUGUCCUACCGAGUGGGCCCAGAGAUACCUCUCCGUUUACACGGAGUGACAAAAUCCCAAUCUCGAUUCGUGCCAACCCAACAGACACUUUCAGAGAUACCCGUAGUGUACCUUUAUAGCCACCCAGUUACGUUGUGACGUUUGGCACACCCAAAGCACUCCUACGGUAUCCGGGAGUUGCACAAUCUCAUGGUCUAAGGAAAUGAUACUUGACAUUAGAAAAGCUUUAGCAUACGAACUACAUGAUCUUGUGCUAGGCUUAGGAUUGGGUCUUGUCCAUCACAUCAUUCUCCUAAUGAUGUGAUCCCGUUAUCAACGACAUCCAAUGUCCAUGGUCAGGAAACCGUAACCAUCUAUUGAUUAACGAGCCAGUCAACUAGAGGCUUACUAGGGACAUGGUGUUGUCUAUGUAUCCACACAUGUAUCUGAGUUUCCUAUCAAUACAAUUCUAGCAUGGAUAAUAAACGAUUAUCAUGAACAAGGAAAUAUAAUAAUAAUCAAUUUAUUAUUGCCUCUAGGGCAUAUUUCCAACAGUCUCCCACUUGCACUAGAGUCAAUAAUCUAGUUCACAUCACCAUGUGAUUAACACUGACAGGUCACAUCACCAUGUGACCAACAUCCAAAGAGUCUUGGGUUUGAUCAUGUUGCUUGUGAGAGAGGUUAUAGUCAACGGGUCUGAACCUUUCAGAUCCGUGUGUGCUUUACAAAUCUCUAUGUCAUCUCCUAGAUGCAGCUACCACGUUCUAUUUGGAGCUAUUCCAAAUAACUGUUCUACUUGGAGCUAUUCUAAAUUGUUGCUCCAUUAUACGUAUCCGGUAUCUCUACUCAGAGCUAUCCGGAUAGGUGUUAAGCUUGCAUCGACGUAACCCUUUACGACGAACUCUUUUACCACCUCCAUAAUUGAGAAAAUUCCUUAGUCCACUAGUUACUAAGGAUAACUUUGACCGCUGUCCUGCGAUCCAUUCUUGGAUCACCCUUGUACCCCUUGACUGACUCAUGGUAAAGCACACUUCAGGUGCGGUACACAGCAUAGCAUACUGUAGAGCCUAUGUCUUAAGCAUAGGGGAUGACCUUCGUUCCUUUCUCUCUAUUCUGCCAUGGUCGAGCUUUAAGUCUUAACUUCAUACCUUACAACUCAGGCAAGAACUCCUUCUUUGACUGGUCCAUCUUGAACACCUUCAAGAUCAUGUCAAGGUAUGUGCUCAUUUGAAAGUACUAUUAAGCGUUUUGAUCUAUCCUUAUAGAUCUUGAUGCUCAAUGUUCAAGUAGCUUAAUCCAGGUUUUCCAUUGAAAACACUUUCCAAAUAACCCUAUAUGCUUUCCAGAAAUUCUACGUCAUUUCUGAUCAUUAAUAUGUCAACAACAUAUAAUCAUCAGAAAUUCUAUAGUGCUCCCACUCACUUCUUUGGAAAUACAAGUUUCUCAUAAACUUUGUAUACACCCAAAAUCUUUGAUCAUCAUCAAAGCAUACAUUCCAACUCCGAGAUGCUCACUCCAGUCCUCAGAAGGAUUGCUGGAGCUUUGCAUACUUAUUAGCAUAUUUCAGGAUAGACAAAACCUUCCAGUUGUAUCACAUACAACCUUUCCUCAAGAAUCGUCGACGAAACAAUGUUUUGACAUCCUAUCUGCAAGAUUUCAUAAAUAAUGCAGUAAUUGUUAAUAUAAUUCCAACAGACUCUUAGCAUCGCUACGAGUGAGAAAGUCUCAUUGUAGUCAACUCCUUGAACUUGUCAAAAAACAUCUUAACGACAAGUCGAGCUUUCUCAAUGGUGACACUUACCAUCAUUGUCUGUCUUCCUUUCAAAAUCCAUAUGUACCUAACAGCCUUACGACCAUCAAGUAGUUCUUCCAAAGUCUACACUUUGUUUUCAUACAUGGAUCCUCUCUCGGGUUUUAUGGCCAUGAGCCAUUUAUCGGAAUCCGGGCCCACCAUUGCUUCUCCAUAGCUCGUAGGUUCAUUGUUGUCUAGCAACAUGACUUCCAAGACAGGAUUACUGUACCACUCUGAAGUAGUACGUAUCCUUGUCACCCUACGAGGUUUGGGAGUGACUUGAUCUGAAGUUUCAUGAUCACUAUCAUAAGCUUCUACUUCAAUUGGUGUAGGUGCCACAGGAACAACUUCCUGUGCCCUGCUACACACUGGUUGAAGUGAUGGUUCAAUAACCUCAUCAAGUCUCCACCAUCCUCCCACUCAAUUCUUUCGAGAGAAACCUUUCCUCGAGAAAGGACCCAAUUCUAGAAACAAUUCAUAUUGCUUUCGGAUCUGAAUUAGGAAGUAUACCCAACUGUUUUGGGUGUCCUAUGAAGAUGUACUUUAUCCGCUUUGGUUUCGAGCUUAAUCCUGAAACUUUUUCACAUAAGUGUCGCAGCCCCAAACCUUUAAGAAACGACAACUUAGGUUUCUCUAAACCAUAAUUCAUACGGUGUCAUCUCAUCGGAAUUACGUGGUGCCCUAUUUAAAGUGAAUGUGGUUGUCUUUAAUGCCUAACCCAUAAACUAUCGUGGCAGUUCGAUAAGAGACAUCAUGGUAUGCAUCAUAUCCAAUAGGGUGCAACUAUGAUGUUCGGACACACCAUCACACUAUGGUGUUCCAGGCGGUAUUAAUUGUGAAACAAUUUCCACAAUGUCUUAAUUGUGUGCCAAAACUCGUAACUCAGAUACUCAUCUCUAUGAUCAUAUCAUAGACAUUUUAUCCUCUUGUCACAAUGAUCUUCUACUUCACUCUGAAAUUACUUGAACCAUUCAACAAUUCAGACUUGUGUUUCAUCAAGUAAAUAUUCUCAACAUCUACUCGAAUCAUCUGUGAAGUAAGAACAUAACGAUAUUCACUGCAUGCCUCAGCACUCAUUGGACUGCACACAUCAAAAUGUGUUACUUCCAACAAGUUGCUAUCUUGUUCCAUCUUACUGAAAACGAGGCUUUUCAGUCAUCUUGCCCAUGUGGUAUGAUUUGCAUGUCCCAAGUGAUUCAAAAAUCAAGUGAGUCAAAACGGUCCAUUUGCAUGGAGUUUCUUCAUGCAUAUACACCAAUAGACAUGGUUCGCAUGUCUCAAACUUUUCAAAAACGAGUGAGCCCAAAGAUCCAUCAAUAUGGAGCUUCUUCAUGCGUUUUAUACCGAUAUGACUUACGUGGUAGUGCCACAAGUAGGUGGUACUAUCAUUACUAUCUUUUGGCAUGAACAUGUGUAUCACUACGAUCGAGAUUUAAUAAACCAUUCAUUUUAGGUGUAAGACCAUUGAAGGUAUUAUUCAAAUAAACAGAGUAACCAUUAUUCUCCUUAAAUGAAUAACCGUAUUGCGAUAGACGUAAUCCAAUCAUGUCUAUGCUCAACGCAAACACCAAAUAACAAUUAUUUAGGUUUAACACCAAUCUCUUUGGUAGAGGGAGCGUGCGAUGCUUGAUCAUAUCAAGCAUGGAAAAACUUACAACACAUAUCGUCAGCUCACCUUUAGCUAGUCUCUGUUUAUUCCGUAGCCUUUUGUUUCGAGUUACUAACACUUAGCAACCGAACUGGUAUCUAAUACCCUGGUGCUACUAGGAGUACUAGCAAAGUACACAUUAACACAAUGUAUAUCCAAUAUACUUCUAUCGACCUUGCCAGCCUUCUUAUCUACCAAGUAUCUAGGGUAAUUCUGCUCUAGUAGUUGUUCCCCUUAUUACAGAAGCACUUAGUCUCGGGUUUGGGUUUUACCUUGGGUUUCUUCACUAGAGCAGCAGCUGAUUUGCCGUUUCAUGAAGUAUCCCUUCUUGCCCUUGCCCUUCUUGAAACUAGUGGUUCCACCAACCAUCAACAAUUGAUGCUCCUUCUUGAUUUCUACUUUCGCGGUGUCAAACAUCGCGAAUACCUCAAGGAUCAUCAUAUCUAUCCCUGAUAUGUUAUAGUUCAUCAUGAAGCUCUAACAGCUUGGUGGCAAUGACUUUGGAGAACCAUCACUAUCUCAUCUGGAAGAUCAACUCCCACUCGAUUCAAGCGAUUGUUGUACUCAGACAAUCUGAGCACAAGCUCAACGAUUGAGCUUUUCUCCCUUAGUUUGCAGGUUAAGAAAGUCAUCGGAGGUCUUAUACCUCUUGACAUGGGCACGAGCCUGAAAUCCCAAUUUCAGCCCUCAAAACAUCUCAUAUGUUUCGCGAUGUUUCAAAAACGUCUUUGGUGCCUCAACUCUAAACCGUUUAACUGAACUAUCACGUAGUUAUCAAAACGUGUAUGUCAGAUGUUCGCAACAACCACAGACAACGUUCGAGGUUCAGCACACUGAGCGGUGCAUUAAGGACAUAAGCCUUCUAUGAAGCAAUGAGGACAAUCCUCAGUUUACGGACCUAGUCCGCAUAAUUGCUACUAUCAACUUUCAACUAAUUUUUCUCUAGGAACAUAUCUAAACAGUAGAACUAUAGCGUGAGCUACGACAUAAUUUGCAAAAACCUUUUGACUAUGUUCAGGAUAAUUAAGUUCAUCUUAUGAACUCCCACUCAGAUAGACAUCCCUCUAGUCAUCUAAGUGAUUACAUGAUCCGAGUCAAACUAGGCCGUGUCCGAUCAUCACGUGAGACGGACUAGUCAUCAUCGGUGAACAUCUUCAUGUUGAUCGUAUCUUCUAUACGACUCAUGUUCGACCUUUCGGUCUUCGUGUUCCGAGGCCAUGUAUGUACAUGCUAGGCUCGUCAAGUUAACCCUAAGUGUUUCGCGUGUGUAAAUCUGUCUUACACCCGUUGUAUGUGAACGUUAGAAUCUAACACCCGAUCAUCACGUGGUGCUUCGAAACACGAACUGUCGCAACGGUGCACAGUUAGGGGAGAACACUUCUUGAAAUUGUUGUAAGGGAUCAUCUUAUUUACUACCGUCGUUCUAAGCAAAUAAGAUGUAUAAACAUGAUAAACAUCACAUGCAAUCAAAUAGUGACAUGAUAUGGCCAUCAUCACUUUGCUCCUUUUGAUCUCCAUCUUCGGGGCUCCAUGAUCAUCAUCGUCACCGGCAUGACACCAUGAUCUCCAUCAUCAUGAUCUCCAUCAUCGUGUCUUCAUGAAGUUGCCUCGCCAACUAUUACUUCUACUACUAUGGCUAACGGUUAGCAAUAAAGUAAAGUAAUUACAUGACGUUUAAGUUGACACGCAGGUCACAAAUGAAUAAAGACAACUCCUAUGGCUCCUGCCGGUUGUCAUACUCAUCGACAUGCAAGUCGUGAUUCCUAUUACAAGAACAUGAUCAAUCUCAUACAUCACAUAUAUCAUUCAUCACAUCCUUUUUGGCCAUAUCACAUCACAUAGCAUACCCUGCAAAAACAAGUUAGACGUCCUCUAAUUGUUGUUUGCAUGUUUUACGUGGCUGCUAUGGGUUUCUAGCAAGAACGUUUCUUACCUACGCAUGAACAACAACGUGAUAUGCCAAUUGCUAUUUACCCUUCAUAAGGACCCUUUUCAUCGAAUCCGAUCCGACUAAAGUGGGAGAGACAGACACCCGCCAGCCACCUUAUGCAACUAGUGCAUGUUUGUCGGUGGAACCGGUCUCACGUAAGCGUACGUGUAAGGUUGGUCCGGGCCGCUUCAUCCCACGAUGCCGCCGAAUCAAGAUAAGACUAGUAACGGCAAGCAUAUUGAACAAUAUCAACGCCCACAACUACUUUGUGUUCUACUCGUGCAAAGAAUCUACGCAAUAGACCUAGCUCAUGAUGCCACUGUUGGGGAACGUAGCAGAAAUUCAAAAUUUUCCUACGUGUCACCAAGAUCUAUCUAUGGAGAUACUAGCAACGAGGGAAGGAGAGUGCAUCUACAUACCCUUGUAGAUCGCUAAGCGGAAGCGUUCAAGUGAACGGGGUUGAUGGAGUCGUACUCGUCGUGAUUCAGAUCACCGAUGAUCCUAGUGCCGAACGGACGGCACCUCCGCGUUCAACACACGUACAGCUCGACGAUGUCUCCCACGCCUUGAUCCAGCAAGGAGAGAGGGAGAGGUUGAGGAAGACUCCAUCCAGCAGCAGCACAACGGCGUGGUGGUGAUGGAGGAGCGUGGCAAUCCUGCAGGGCUUCGCCAAGCACCUACGGGAGAGGAGGAGGUGUCACGGGAGGGAGGGAGGCGCCAAGGGCUCAGGUAUAGAUGCCCUCCCUCCCCUCCACUAUAUAUAGGGGCAAGGGAGAGGGGGAGGCGCAUCCUUGCCCCUUCCUCCAAGGAAGGGGUGCGGCUAAGAGGGGGGGAGGAGUCCAUCCUCCCCAAGGCACCUCGGAGGUGCCUUCCCCCUUUAGGACUCUCCCCUUUUUCCUAUAUCUUGGCGCAUGGGCCUCUAGGGGCUGGUGCCCUUGGCCCAUGUAGGCCAAGGCGCACCCCCCUACAGCCCAUGUGGCCCCCCGGGGCAGGUGGCCCCACCCGGUGGGCCCCCGGGACCCUUCCGGUGGUCCCGGUACAAUACCGAUGACCCCGAAACUUGUCCCGAUGGCCGAAACAGGACUUCCUAUAUAUAAAUCUUUACCUCCGGACCAUUCCGGAACUCCUCGUGACGUCCGGGAUCUCAUCCGGGACUCCGAACAACAUUCGGUAACCACAUACAAACUUCCUUUAUAACCCUAGCGUCAUCGAACCUUAAGUGUGUAGACCCUACGGGUUCGGGAGACAUGUAGUCAUGACCGAGAUGUUCUCCGGUCAAUAACCAACAGCGGGAUCUGGAUACCCAUGUUGGCUCGCACAUGUUCCACGAUGAUCUCAUCGGAUGAACCACGAUGUCAAGGACUCAAUCAAUCCCGUAUACAAUUCCCUUUGUCUAGCGGUAUGGUACUUGCCCGAGAUUCGAUCGUCGGUAUACCGAUACCUUGUUCAAUCUCGUUACCGGCAAGCCUCUUUACUCGUUCCGUAACACAUCAUCCCGUGAUCAACCCCUUGGUCACAUUGUGCACAUUAUGAUGAUGUCCUACCGAGUGGGCCCAGAGAUACCUCUCCGUUUACACGGAGUGACAAAAUCCCAAUCUCGAUUCGUGCCAACCCAACAGACACUUUCAGAGAUACCCGUAGUGUACCUUUAUAGCCACCCAGUUACGUUGUGACGUUUGGCACACCCAAAGCACUCCUACGGUAUCCGGGAGUUGCACAAUCUCAUGGUCUAAGGAAAUGAUACUUGACAUUAGAAAAGCUUUAGCAUACGAACUACAUGAUCUUGUGCUAGGCUUAGNNNNNNNNNNUGAUCAACCCCUUGGUCACAUUGUGCACAUUAUGAUGAUGUCCUACCGAGUGGGCCCAGAGAUACCUCUCCGUUUACACGGAGUGACAAAAUCCCAAUCUCGAUUCGUGCCAACCCAACAGACAUUUUCAGAGAUACCCGUAGUGUACCUUUAUAGCCACCCAGUUACGUUGUGACGUUUGGCACACCCAAAGCACUCCUACGGUAUCCGGGAGUUGCACAAUCUCAUGGUCUAAGGAAAUGAUACUUGACAUUAGAAAAGCUUUAGCAUACGAACUACAUGAUCUUGUGCUAGGCUUAGGAUUGGGUCUUGUCCAUCACAUCAUUCUCCUAAUGAUGUGAUCCCGUUAUCAACGACAUCCAAUGUCCAUGGUCAGGAAACCGUAACCAUCUAUUGAUUAACGAGCUAGUCAACUAGAGGCUUACUAGGGACAUGGUGUUGUCUAUGUAUCCACACAUGUAUCUGAGUUUCCUAUCAAUACAAUUCUAGCAUGGAUAAUAAACGAUUAUCAUGAACAAGGAAAUAUAAUAAUAAUCAAUUUAUUAUUGCCUCUAGGGCAUAUUUCCAACAAGAAACGGGGAACAAACUGAUGAAAGAAUGAUCAUACCGAGGGAAUUCACUCAGAACUAACAAGAAUGAUAACGUGCUUUGACUGGAGCGGUUUAAAAACUGCUGGAAGGCUCUAGGGGAAUAAAGAUGGAAUGCCUUCAAAUUUCUAGGUCCGUAUGAUUUGAAAUACUUGCACACAAACCGCGCGAAAGCGUUCCUGGAAAUCUCAGCCCAAAAAAGGACGUUUAGUAAUUCUAAAAGGGACUACAGAAUGAAAAACAAUAGUUUUGGCAGUUAAAGUUUGAGAUUCGAUGGUGCCGUAGAUCCGUUUGGUCAUCAGGUGUAACGAGCCACACCCAUGUCUAGCUAGAGUAGUGUGCUAGGCUCAGGCUAGAGAAGAAACGGGGAACAAACUGAUGAAAGAAUGAUCAUACCGAGGGAAUUCACUCAGAACUAACAAGAAUGAUAACGUGCUCCGACUGGAGCGGUUUAGGAACUGCUGGAAGGCUCUAGGGGAAGAAAGAAGGAAUGACUUCUAAUUUUUAGGUCCGUAUGAUUUGAAAUACGUGCACACAAACCGCGCGAAAGCGUUCCUGGAAAUCUCAGCCCAAAAAAGGACGUUUAGUAUUCUAAAAGGGACUACAGAAUGAAAAACAAUAGUUUUGGCAGUUAAAGUUUGAGAUUCGACGGUGCCGUAGAUCCGUUUGGUCAUCAGGUGUUACGAGCCACACCCAUGUCUAGCUAGAAUAGUGUGCNNNNNNNNNNNNNNNNNNNNNNNNNCGUAUGAUUUGAAAUACGUGCACACAAACCGCGCGAAAGCGUUCCUGGAAAUCUCAGCCCAAAAAAGGACGUUUAGUAUUCUAAAAGGGACUACAGAAUGAAAAACAAUAGUUUUGGCAGUUAAAGUUUGAGAUUCGACGGUGCUGUAGAUCCGUUUGGUCAUCAGGUGUUACGAGCCACACCCAUGUCUAGCUAGAAUAGUGUGCUAGGCUCAGGCUAGAGAAGAAAAGGGGAACAAACUAAUGAAAGAAUGAUCAAUACGAGGGAAUUCACUCAGAACUAACAAUAAUGAUAACGUGCUCCGACUGGAGCGGUUUAGGAACUGCUGGAAGGCUCUAGGCGAAUAAAGAUGGAAUGACUUCUAAUUUUUACGUCCGUAUGAUUUGAAAUACUUGCACACAAACCACGCAAAAGCGUUCCUGGAAAUCUCGGCCUAAAAAGGACGUUUAGUAAUUCUAAAAGGGACUACAGGAUGAAAAAUAAUAGUUUGGGCAGUUAAAAUUUGAGAUUCGACGGUGCCGUAGAUCCGUUUGGUCAUCAGGUGUUACGAGCCACACCCAUGUCUAGCUAGAAUAGUGUGUUAGGCUCAGGCUAGAGAAGAAACGAGGAACAAACUGAUGAAAGAAUGAUCAUACCAAGGGAAUUCACUCAGAACUAACAAGAAUGAUAACGUGCUCCGACUGGAGCAGUUUAGAAACUGCUGGAAGGCUCUAGGGGAAUAAAGAUGGAAUGACUUCUGAUUUUUAGGUCCGUAUGAUUUGAAAUACGUGCACACAAACCCCGCGAAAGCGUUCCUGGAAAUCUCAGCCCAAAAAAGGACGUUUAGUAAUUCUAAAAGGGACUACAACAUGAAAAACAAUAGUUUUGGCAGUUAAAGUUUGAGAUUUCAUGGUGCCGUAGAUCUGUUUGGUCAUCAGGUGUUACGAGCCACACCCAUGUCUAGCUAGAAUAGUGUGUUAGGCUCAGGCUAGAAAAGAAACGGGAAACAAAGUGAUGAAAGAAUGACCAUACCGAGGGAAUUCACUCAGAACUAACAAGAAUGAUAACAUGCUCCGACUUGAGCGGUUUAGGAACUGCUGGAAGGCUCUAGGGGAAUAAAGAUGGAAUGACUUCUAAUGUUUAGGUCCGUAUGAUUUGAAAUACUUGCACAUAAACCGCACAAAAGCGUUCCUGGAAAUCUCAGCCCAAAAAAGGACGUUUAGUAAUUCUAAAAGGGACUACAGGAUGAAAAACAAUAGUUUUGGCAGUUAAAGUUUGAGAUUCGACGGUGCCGUAGAUCCGUUUGGUCAUCAGGUGUUACGAGCCACACCCAUGUCUAGCUAGAAUAGUGUGUUAGGCUCAGGCUAGAGAAGAAACUUGGAACAAACUGAUGAAAGAAUGAUCAAACCAACGGAAUUCACUCAGAACUAACAAUAAUGAUAACGUGCUCCGACUGGAGCAGUUUAGGAACUGCUGGAAGGCUCUAGGGGAAUAAAGAUGGAAUGACUUCUAAUUUUUAGGUCCGUAUGAUUUGAAAUACUUGCACGCAAACCGCGCGAAAGCGUUCCUGGAAAUAUCAGCCCAAAAAAGGACGUUUAGUAAUUCUAAAAGGGACUACAGGAUGAAAACAAUAGUUUUGGCAGUUAAAGUUUGAGAUUCAACAGUGCCGUAGAUCCGUUUGGUCAUCAGGUGUUAUGAGCCAUACCCAUGUCUAGCUAGAGUAGUGUGCUAGGCUCAGGCUAGAGAAGAAACAGGGAACAAACUGAUGAAAGAAUGAUCAUACCGAGGGAAUUCACUCAGAACUAACAAGAAUGAUAACGUGCUCCGACUGGAGCGGUUUAGGAACUGCUGGAAGGCUCUAGGGGAAUAAAGAUGGAGUGACUUCUAAAUUUUUAGGUCCGUAUGAUUUAAAAUACUUGCACACAAACCGCACGAAAGCGUUCCUUGAAAUCUCAGCCCAAAAAAGGACGUUUAGUAAGUCUAAAAGGGACUAUAGGAUGAAAAACAAUAGUUUUGGCAGUUAAAGUUUGAGAUUCGAUGGUGCCGUAGAUCUGUUUGGUCAUCAGGUGUUACGAGCCACACCCAUGUCUAGUUGGAAUAGUGUGCUAGGCUCAGACUAGAGAAGAAACAGGGAACAAACUGAUGAAAGAAUGAUCAAACCGAGGAAAUUCACUCAGAACUAACAAUAAUGAUAACAUGCUCCGACUGGAGCGGUUUAGGAACUGCUGGAAGGCUCUAGGGGAAUAAAGAUGGAAUGACUUCUAAAUUUUUAGGUCCGUAUGAUUUGAAAUAGUUGCACACAAACUGCGCGAAAGCGUUCCUGGAAAUCUCAGCCCAAAAAAGGACGUUUAGUAAUUCUAAAAGGGACUAUAGGAUGAAAAACAAUAGUUUUGGCAGUUAAAGUUUGAGAUUCGACGGUGCCGUAGAUCCGUUUGGUCAUCACGUGUUACAAGCCACACCCAUGUCUAGCUAGAGUAGUGUGCUAGGCUCAGACUAUAGAAGAAACGGGGACCAAACUGAUGAAAGAAUGAUCAAACCGAGGAAAUUCACUCAGAACUAACAAUAAUGAUAACAUGCUCCGACUGGAGCGGUUUAGGAACUACUGGAAGGCUCUAGGGGAAUAAAGAUGGAAUGACUUCUAAAUUUUUAGGUCCGUAUGAUUUUAAAUAGUUGCACACAAACUGCGCGAAAGCGUUCCUGGAAAUCUCAGCCCAAAAAAGGACGUUUAGUAAUUCUAAAAGGGACUACAGGAUGAAAAACAAUAGUUUGGGCAGUUAAAAUUUGAGAUUCGACGGUGCCGUAGAUCCGUUUGGUCAUCAGGUGUUACGAGCCACACCCAUGUCUAGCUAGAGUAGUGUGCUAGGCUCAGGCUAGAGAAGAAACAGGGAACAAACUGAUGAAAGAAUGAUCAUACCGAGGGAAUUCACUCAGAACUAACAAGAAUGAUAACGUGCUCUGACUGGAGCGGUUUAAGAACUGUUGGAAGGCUCUAGGGGAAUAAAGAUGGAAUCACUUCAAAUUUUUACGUCCGUGUGAUUUGAAAUACUUGCACACAAACCGCACGAAAGCGUUCCUGGAAAUCUCAGCCCAAAAAAGGACGUUUAGUAAGUCUAAAAGGGACUACACGAUGAAAAACAAUAGUUUUGGCAGUUAAAGUUUGAGAUUCGACAGUGCCGUAGAUCCGUUUGGUCAUCAGGUGUAACGAGCCACACCCAUGUCUAGAUAGAGUAGUGUGCUAGGCUCAAACUAGAGAAGAAACGGGGAACAAACUGAUGAAAGAAUGAUCAUACCGAGGGAAUUCACUCAGAAAUAACAAGAAUGAUAACGUGCUCUGACUGGAGCGGUUUAGGAACUGCUGGAAGGCUCUAGGGGAAUAAAGAAGGAAUGACUUCUAAUUUUUAGGUCCGUAUGAUUUGAAAUACGUGCACACAAACCCCGAGAAAGCGUUCCUGGAAAUCUCGACCCAAAAAAGGACGUUUAGUAAUUCUAAAAGGGACUACGGGAUGAAAAACAAUAGUUUUGGCAGUUAAAGUUUGAGAUUCGAUAAUGCCGUAGAUCCAUUUGGUCAUCAGGUGUAACGAGCCACACCCAUGUCUAGCUAGAGUAGUGUGCUAGGCUCAGACUAGAGAAGAAACAGGGAACAAACUGAUGAAAGAAUGAUCAUAUCGAGGGAAUUCACUCAGAACUAACAAGAAUGAUAACAUGCUCCGACUUGAGCGGUUUAGGAACUGCUGGAAGGCUCUAGGGGAAUAAAGAUGGAAUGACUUCUAAUUUUUAGGUCCGUAUGAUUUGAAAUACUUACACACAAACCACGCGAAAGCGUUCCUGGAAAUCUCAGCCCAAAAAAGGACGUUUAGUAAUUCUAAAAGGGACUACAUGAUGAAAAACAAUAGUUUUCGCAGUUAAAGUUUGAGAUUCGACGGUGCCGUAGAUCCGUUUGGUCAUCAAGUGUUACGAGCCACACCCAUGUCUAGCUAGAAUAGUGUGUUAGGCUCAGCCUAGAGAAGAAACGGGGAACAAACUGAUGAAAGAAUGAUCAUACCGAGGGAAUUCACUCAGAACUUACAAGAAUGAUAACGUGCUCCGACUUGAGCGGUUUAAGAACUGUUGGAAGGCUCUAGGGGAAUAAAGAUGGAAUCACUUCAAAUUUUUACGUCCGUGUGAUUUGAAAUACUUGCACACAAACCCCGAGAAAGCGUUCCUGGAAAUCUCGGCCGAAAAAAGGAUGUUUAAUAAUUCUAAAAGGGACUACAGGAUGAAAAACAAUAGCUUUGGCAGUUAAAGUUUGUGAUUCGAUGGUGCCGUAGAUCUGUUUGGUCAUCAGGUGUUAUGAGCCACACCCAUGUCUAGCUAGAAUAGUGUGUUAGGCUCAGGCUAGAGCAGAAACUAGGAACAAACUUAUGAAAGAAUGAUCAUACCGAGGGAAUUCACUCAGAACUAACAAGAAUGAUAACGUGCUCCGACUGGAGCGGUUUAGGAACUGCUGGAAGGCUCUAGGGGAAUAAAGAUGGAAUGACUUCUAAUUUUUAGGUCCGUAUGAUUUGAAAUACAUGCACACAAACCCCAAGAAAGCGUUCCUAGAAAUCUCAGCCCAAAAAGGACGUUUAGUAAUUCUAAAAGGGACUACAGGAUGAAAAACAAUAGGUUUGGCAGUUAAAGUUUGAGAUUCGAUAAUGCCGUAGAUCCGUUUGGUCAUCAGGUGUAACGAGCCACACCCAUGUCUAGCUACAUUAGUGUGCUAGGCUCAGACUAGAGAAGAAACGGGGAACAAACUGAUGAAAGAAUGAUCAUACCGAGGGAAUUCACUCAGAACUAACAAGAACGAUAACAUGCUCCGACUGCAGCGGUUUAGGAACUGCUGGAAGGCUCUAGGGGAAUAAAGAAGGAAUGACUUCUAAUUUUUAGGUCCGUAUGAUUUGAAAUACUUGCACACAAACCGCGCGAAAGCAUUCCUGGAAAUCUCAGCCCAAAAAAGGACGUUUAGUAAUUCUAAAAGGGACUACAGGAUGAAAAACAAUAAUUUUGGCAGUUAAAGUUUGAGAUUCGACGGUGCCGUAGAUCCGUUUGGUCAUCAGGUGUUACGGGCCAUACCCAUGUCUAGCUAGAAUAGUGUGUUAGGCUCAGGUUAGAGAAGAAACGGGGAACAAAGUGAUGAAAGAAUGAUCAUACCGAGGGAAUUCACUCAGAACUAACAAGAAUGAUAACGUGCUCCGACUGGAGCGGUUUAGGAAUUGCUGGAAGGCUCUAGGGGAAUAAAGAUGGAAUGACUUCUAUAUUUUACGUCCGUAUGAUUUGAAAUACUUGCACACAAACCACGCAAAAGCACUCCUGGAAAUAUCAGCCUAAAAAGGAUGUUUAGUAAUUCUAAAAGGGACUACAGGAUGAAAAAUAAUAGUUUUGGCAGUUAAAAUUUGAGAUUCAACGGUGCCGUAAAUCCGUUUGGUCAUCAGGUGUUACGAGCCACACCCAUGUCUAGCUAGAAUAGUGUGUUAGGCUCAGGUUAGAGAAGAAACGGGGAACAAACUGAUGAAAGAAUGAUCAUACAAGGGGAAUUCACUCAGAACUAUCAAGAAUGAUAACGUGCUCCGACUGGAGCAGUUUAGGAACUGCCGGAAGGCUCUAGGGGAAUAAAGAUGGAAUGACUUCUAAUUUUUAUGUCCGUAUGAUUUGAAAUACUUGCACACAAACCACGCAAAAGCGUUCCUGGAAAUCUCAGCCUAAAAAGGACGUUUAGUAAUUCUAAAAGGGACUACAGGAUGAAAAACAAUAGUUUGGGCAGUUAAAAUUCGAGAUUCGACGGUGCCGUAGAUCCGUUUGGUCAUCAGGUGUUACGAGCCACACCCAUGUCUAGCUAGAAUAGUGUGUUAGGCUCAGGCUAGAGAAGAAACGGGGAACAAACUGAUGAAAGAAUGAUCAUAUCGAGGGAAUUCACUCAGAACUAACAAGAAUGAUAACGUGCUCCGACUGGAGCGGUUUAGUAACUGCUGGAAGGCUCUAGGGGAAUAAAGAUGGAAUGACUUCUAAUUAUUAGGUCCGUAAGAUUUGAAUUACAUGCACACAAACCCCGAGAAAGCGUUCCUGGAAAUCUCGGUCGAAAAAAGGAUGUUUAGUAAUUCUAAAAGGGACUACAGGAUGAAAAACAAUAGUUUUGGCAGUUAAAGUUUGUGAUUCGAUGGUGCCGUAGAUCUGUUUGGUCAUCAGGUGUUACGAGCCACACCCAUGUCUAGCUAGAAUAGUGUGUUAGGCUCAGGCUAGAGCAGAAACGGGGAACAAACUUAUGAAAGAAUGAUCAUGCCGAGGGAAUUCACUCAGAACUAACAAGAAUGAUAACGUGCUCCGACUGGAGCGGUUUAGGAACUGCUGGAAGGCUCUAGGGGAAUAAAGAUGGAAUGACAUCAAAUUUUUAGGUCCGUAUGAUUUGAAAUACUUGCACACAAACCGCAAGAAAGCGUUCUUGGAAAUCUCCGCCCAAAAAAGGACGUUUAGUAAUUCUAAAAGGGUCUACAGGAUGAAAAACAAUAGUUCUGGCAGUUAAAGUUUGAGAUUCGAUAAUGUCGUAGAUCCGUUUGGUCAUCAGGCGUAACGAGCCACACCCAUUUCUAGCUAGAGUAGUGUGCUAGGCUCAGACUAGAGAAGAAACGGGGAACAACCUGAUGAAAGAAUGAUCAUACCGAGGGAAUUCACUCAGAACUAACAAGAAUGAUAACGUGCUCCGACUGGAGCGGUUUAGGAACUGCUGGAAGGCUCUACGGGAAUAAAGAAGGAAUGACUUCUAAUUUUUAGGUCCGUAUGAUUUGAAAUACGUGCACACAAACCCCGAGAAAGCGUUCCUGGAAAUCUCGGCCCAAAAAAGGACGUUUAGUAUUCUAAAAGCGACUACAGAAUGAAAAACAAUAGUUUUGGUAGUUAAAGUUUGAGAUUUAACGGUGCCGUAGAUCUGUUUGGUCAUCAGGUGUUACGAGCCACACCCAUGUCUAGCUAGAAUAGUGUGUUAGGCUCAGGCUAGAUAAGAAACAGGGAACAAAGUGAUGAAAGAAUGAUCAUACCAAGGGAAUUCACUCAGAACUAACAAGAACGAUAACAUGCUCCGACUGGAGUGGUUUAGGAACUGCUGGAAGGCUCUAGGGGAAUAAAGAUGGAAUGACUUCUAAUUUUUAGGUCUGUAUGAUUUGAAAUACUUGCACACAAACCGCACGAAAGCGUUCCUGGAAAUCUCAUCCCAAAAAAGGACGUUUAGUAAUUCUAAAAGGGACUACAGGAUGAAAAACAAUAGUUUUGGCAGUUAAAGUUUGAGAUUCGAUAAUGCUGUAGAUCCGUUUGGUCAUCAGGUGUAACGAGCCACACCCAUGUCUAGCUAGAGUAGUGUGCUAGGCUCAGACUAGAGAAGAAACGGGGAACAAACUGAUGAAAGAAUGAUCAUACCGAGGGAAUUCACUCAGAACUAACAAUAAUGAUAACGUGCUCCGACUGGAGCGGUUUAGGAACUGCUGGAAGGCUCUAGGGGAAUAAAGAUGGAAUGAGUUCUAAUUUUUAGGUCUGUAUGAUUUGAAAUACUUGCACACAAACCGCGUGAAAGCAUUCCUGGAAAUUUCAGCCCAAAAAAGGACGUUUAGUAAUUUUAAAAGGGACUACACGAUGAAAAACAAUAGUUUUGGCAGUUAAAGUUUGAGAUUCGACGGUGCCGUAGAUCCGUUUGGUCAUCAGGUGUUACGAGCCACACCCAUGUCUAGCUAGAAUAGUAUGUUAGGCUCGGGUAAGAGAAGAAACGGGGAACAAACUGAUGAAAGAAUGAUCAUACCAAGGGAAUUCACUCAGAACUAACAAGAAUGAUAACGUGCUCCGACUGGAGCGGUUUAGGAACUGCUGGAAGGCUCUAGGGGAAUAAAGAUGGAAUGACUUCUAAUUUUUACGUUCGUAUGAUUUGAAAUACUUGCACACAAACCACGCAAAAGCGUUCCUGGAAAUCUCAUCCUAAAAAAGGACGUUUAGUAAUUCUAAAAGGGACUACAGGAUGAAAAAUAAUAGUUUGGGCAGUUAAAAUUUGAGAUUCGACGGUGCCGUAGAUCCGUUUGGUCAUCAGGUGUUACGAGCCACACCCAUGUCUAGCUAGAAUAGUGUGUUAGGCUCAGGCUAGAGAAGAAACGGGGAACAAACUGAUGAAAGAAUGAUCAUAUCGAGGGAAUUCACUCAGAACUAACAAGAAUGAUAACGUGCUCCGACUGGAGCAGUUUAGAAACUGCUGGAAGGCUCUAGGGGAAUAAAGAUGGAAUGACUUCUAAUUUUUAGGUCUGUAUGAUUUGAAAUACGUGCACACGAACCCCGAGAAAGCGUUCCUGGAAAUCUCGGCCCAAAAAAGGACGUUUAGUAAUUCUAAAAGGGACUACAGGAUGAAAAACAAUAGUUUUGGCAGUUAAAGUUUGAGAUUCGACGGUGCCGUAGAUCCGUUUGUUCAUCAGGUGUUACGAGCCACACCCAUGUCUAGCUAGAAUAGUGUGUUAGGCUCAGGCUAGAGAAGAAACGGGGAACAAACUGAUGAAAGAAUGAUCAUACCGAGGGAAUUCACUCAGAACUAACAAGAAUGAUAACGUGCUCCGACUGGAGCGGUUUAGGAACUGCUAGAAGGCUCUAGGGGAAUAAAGAAGGAAUGACUUCUAAUUUUUAGGUCCGUAUGAUUUGAAAUACGUGCACACAAACCCCGAGAAAGCGUUCCUGGAAAUCUUGGCCCAAAAAAGGACGUUUAGUAUUCUAAAAGCGACUACAGAAUGAAAAACAAUAGUUUUGCUAGUUAAAGUUUGAGAUUUGAUGGUGCCGUAGAUCUGUUUGGUCAUCAGGUUUUACGAGCCACACCCAUGUCUAGCUAGAAUAGUGUGUUAGGCUCAGGCUAGAAAAGAAACAGGGAAUAAAGUGAUGAAAGAAUGAUCAUACCAAGGGAAUUCACUCAGAACUAACAAGAACGAUAACAUGCUCCGACUGGAGUGGUUUAGAACUGCUGGAAGGCUAAAGGGGAAUAAAGAUGGAAUGACUUCUAAUUUUUAGGUCCGUAUGAUUUGAAAUACUUGCACACAAACCGCACGAAAGUGUUCCUGGAAAUCUCAGCCCAAAAAAGGACGUUUAGUAAUUCUAAAAGGGACUACAGGAUGAAAAACAAUAGUUUUGGCAGUUAAAGUUUGAGAUUCGAUAAUGACGUAGAUCCGUUUGGUCAUCAGGUGUAACGAGCCACACCCAUGUCUAGCUAGAGUAGUGUGCUAGGCUCAGACUAGAGAAGAAACGGGGAACAAACUGAUGAAAGAAUGAUCAUACCGAGGGAAUUCACUCAGAACUAACAAUAAUGAUAACGUGCUCCGACUAGAGCGGUUUAGGAACUGCUGGAAGGCUCUAGGGGAAUAAAGAUGGAAUGACUUCUAAUUUUUAGGUCCCUAUGAUUUGAAAUACUUGCACACAAACCGCGUGAAAGCAUUCCUGGAAAUUUCAGCCCAAAAAAGGACGUUUAGUAAUUUUAAAAGGGACUACACGAUGAAAAAGAAUAGUUUUGGCAGUUAAAGUUUGAGAUUCGACGGUGCCGUAGAUCCGUUUGGUCAUCAGGUGUUACGAGACACACCCAUGUCUAGCUAGAAUAGUAUGUUAGGCUCGGGUUAGAGAAGAAACGGGGAACAAACUGAUGAAAGAAUGAUCAUACCAAGGGAAUUCACUCAGAACUAACAAGAAUGAUAACGUGCUCCGACUGGAGCGGUUUAGGAACUGCUGGAAGGCUCUAGGGGAAUAAAGAUGGAAUGACUUCUAAUUUUUACGUUCGUAUGAUUUGAAAUACUUGCAAACAAACCACGCAAAAGCGUUCCUGGAAAUUUCAUCCUAAAAAAGGACGUUUAGUAAUUCUAAAAGGGACUACAGGAUGAAAAAUAAUAGUUUGGGCAGUUAAAAUUUGAGAUUCGAUGGUGCCGUAGAUCCGUUUGGUCAUCAGGUGUUACGAGCCACACCCAUGUCUAGCUAGAAUAGUGUGUUAGGCUCAGGCUAGAGAAGAAACGGGGAACAAACUGAUGAAAGAAUGAUCAUAUCGAGGGAAUUCACUCAGAACUAACAAGAAUGAUAACGUGCUCCGACUGGAGCAGUUUAGAAACUGCUGGAAGGCUCUAGGGGAAUAAAGAUGGAAUGACUUCUAAUUUUUAGGUCUGUAUGAUUUGAAAUACGUGCACACAAACCCCGAGAAAGCGUUCCUGGAAAUCUCGUCCGGAAAAAGGAUGUUUAAUAAUUCUAAAAGGGACUACAGGAUGAAAAACAAUAGUUUUGGCAGUUAAAGUUUGUGAUUCGAUGGUGCCGUAGAUCUGUUUGGUCAUCAGGUGUUACGGGCCACACCCAUGUCUAGCUAGAAUAGUGUGUUAGGCUCAGGCUAGAGCAGAAACGGGGAGCAAACUUAUGAAAGAAUGAUCAUAGCGAGGGAAUUUACUCAGAACUAACAAGAAUGAUAACGUGCUCCGACUGGAGCGGUUUAGGAACUGCUGGAAGGCUCUAGGGGAAUAAAGAUGGAAUGACUUCAAAUUUUCAGGUAUGUAUGAUCUGAAAUACUUGCACACAAACCGCGAGAAAGCGUUCCUGGAAAUCUCAACCCAAAAAAGGAUGUUUAGUAAUUCUAAAAGGGACUACAGGAUUAAAAACAAUAGUUUUGGCAGUUAAAGUUUGAGAUUCGAUAAUGUCGUAGAUCCGUUUGGUCAUCAGGUGUAACGAGCCACACCCAUGUCUAGCUAGAGUAGUGUGCUAGGCUCAUACUAGAGAAGAAACGGGGAACAAACUGAUGAAAGAAUGAUCAUACCGAGGGAAUUCACUCAGAACUAACAAGAAUGAUAACGUGCUCCGACUGGAGCGGUUUAGGAACUGCUGGAAGGCUCUAGGGGAAUAAAGAUGGAAUGACUUCUUAUUUUUAGGUCCGUAUGAUUUGAAAUACAUGCACACAAACCCCAAGAAAGCGUUCCGGGAAAUCUCGGCCCAAAGAAUGAUGUUUAGUAAUUCUAAAAGGGACUAUAGAAUGAAAAACAAUAGUUUUGGCAGUUAAAGUUUGAGAUUUGACGGUGUCGUAGAUCUGUUUGGUCAUCAGGUGUUACGAGCCACACCCAUUUCUAGCUAGAAUAGUGUGUUAGGCUCAGGCUAGAAAAGAAACGGGGAACAAAGUGAUGAAAGAAUGAUCAUACCGAGGGAAUUCACUCAGAACUAACAAGAAUGAUAACAUGCUCCGACUAGAGCGGUUUAGGAACUGCUGGAAGGCUCUAGGGGAAUAAAUAUGGAAUGACUUCUAAUUUUCAGGUCCGUAUGAUUUGAAAUACUUGCACACAAACCGCGCGAAAGCGUUCCUGGAAAUCUCAUCCCAAAGAAGGUCGUUUAGUAAUUCUAAAAGGGACUACAGGAUGAAAAACAAUAGUUUUGGCAAUUUAAGGUUUGAGAUUCGACGGUGCCGUAGAUCCGUUUGGUCAUCAGGUGUUACGAGCCACACCCAUGUCUAGCUAGAAUAGUGUGCUAGGCUCAGGCUAGAGAAGAAACAGGGAACAAACUGAUGAAAGAAUGAUCAAACCGAGGGAAUUCACUCAGAACUAACAAUAAUGAUAACGUUCUCCGUCUGGAGCGGUUUAGGAACUGCUGGAAGGCUCUAGGGGAAUAAAGAUGGAAUGACUUCUAAUUUUUAGGUCCGUAUGAUUUGAAAUACUUGCACACAAACCGCGCCAAAUCGUUCCUGGAAAUCUCAGCCCAAAAAAGGACGUUUAGUAAUUCUAAAAGGGACUACAGGAUGAAAAACAAUAGUUUUGGCAGUUAAAGUUUGAGAUUCGAUGGUGCCGUAGACCCGUUUGGUCAUCAGGUGUUACGAGCCACACCCAUGUCUAGCUAGAGUAGUGUGCUAGGUUCAGACUAGAGAAGAAACAGGGAACAAAGUGAUGAAAGAAUGAUCAUACCGAGGGAAUUCACUCAGAACUAACAAGAAUGAUAACGUGCUCCGACUGGAGCGGUUUAGGAACUGCUGGAAGGCUCUAGGGGAAUAAAGAUGGAAUGACUUCUAAUUUUUACGUCCGUAUGAUUUGAAAUACUUGCACACAAACCACGCAAAAGCGUUCCUGGAAAUCUCAGCCUAAAAAAGGACGUUUAGUAAUUCAAAAAGGGACUACAAAAUGAAAAACAAUAGUUUUGGCAGUUAAAGUUUGAGAUUCGAUGGUGCCGUAGAUCCGUUUGGUCAUCAGGUGUUACGAGCCACACCCAUGUCUAGCUAGGAUAGUGUGUUAGGCUCAGGCUAGAGAAGAAACGGGGAACAAACUGAUGAAAGAAUGAUCAUACCGAGGGAAUUCACUCAGAACUAACAAGGAUGAUAACAUGCUCCGACUAGAGCGGUUUAGGAACUGCUGGAAGGCUCUAGGGGAAUAAAGAUGGAAUGACUUCUAAUUUUUAGGUCCGUAUGAUUUGAAAUACUUGCACACAAACCGCAAGAAAGCGUUCCUGGAAAUCUCAGCCCAAAAAAGGACGUUUAGUAAUUCUAAAAGGGACUACAGGAUGAAAAACAAUAGUUCUGGCAGUUAAAGUUUGAGAUUCGAUAAUGCCGUAGAUCUGUUUGGUCAUCAGGUGUAACGAGCCACACCCAUGUCUAGCUAGAGUAGUGUGCUAGGCUCAGACUAGAGAAGAAACGGGGAACAAACUGAUGAAAGAAUGAUUAUACCGAGGGAAUUCACUCAGAACUAACGAGAAUGAUAACGUGCUCCGACUGGAGCGGUUUAGGAACUGCUGGAAGGCUCUAGGGGAAUAAAGAUGGAAUGACUUCAAAUUUUUAGGUCUGUAUGAUUUGAAAUACUUGCACACAAACCGCAAGAAAGCGUUCCUUGAAAUCUCAGCCCAAAAAAGGACGUUUAGUAAUUCUAAAAGGGACUACAGGAUGAAAAACAAUAGUUCUGGCAGUUAAAGUUUGAGAUUCGAUAAUGUCGUAGAUCCGUUUGGUCAUCAGGUGUAACGAGCCACACCCAUGUCUAGCUAGAGUAGUGUGCUAGGCUCAGAAUAGAGAAGAAACGGGGAACAAACUGAUGAAAGAAUGAUCAUACCGAGGGAAUUCACUCAGAACUAACAAGAAUGAUAACGUGCUCCGACUGGAGCGGUUUAGGAACUGCUGGAAGGCUCUAGGGGAAUAAAGAAGGAAUGACUUCUAAUUUUUAGGUCCGUAUGAUUUGAAAUACGUGCACACAAACCGCGCGAAAGCGUUCCUGGAAAUCUCAGCCAAAAAAAGGACGUUUAGUAUUCUAAAAGGGACUACAGAAUGAAAAACAAUAGUUUUGGCAGUUAAAGUUUGAGAUUCGACGGUGCUGUAGAUCCGUUUGGUCAUCAGGUGUUACGAGCCACACCCAUGUCUAGCUAGAAUAGUGUGCUAGGCUCAGGCUAGAGAAGAAAAGGGGAACAAACUAAUGAAAGAAUGAUCAAUCCGAGGGAAUUCACUCAGAACUAACAAUAAUGAUAACGUGCUCCGACUGGAGCGGUUUAGGAACUGCUGGAAGGCUCUAGGCGAAUAAAGAUGGAAUGACUUCUAAUUUUUACGUCCGUAUGAUUUGAAAUACUUGCACACAAACCACGCAAAAGCGUUCCUGGAAGUCUCGGCCUAAAAAGGACGUUUAGUAAUUCUAAAAGGGACUACAGGAUGAAAAAUAAUAGUUUGGGCAGUUAAAAUUUGAGAUUCGACGGUGCCGUAGAUCCAUUUGGUCAUCAAGUGUUACGAGCCACACCCAUGUCUAGCUAGAAUAGUGUGUUAGGCUCAGGCUAGAGAAGAAACGGGGAACAAACUGAUGAAAGAAUGAUCAUACCAAGGGAAUUCACUCAGAACUAACAAGAAUGAUAACGUGCUCCGACUGGAGCAGUUUAGAAACUGCUGGAAGGCUCUUGGGGAAUAAAGAUGGAAUGACUUCAAAUUUUUAGGUCCGUAUGAUUUGAAAUACUUGCACACAAACCACGCGAAAGCGUUCCUGGAAAUCUCAGCCCAAAAAAGGACGUUUAGUAAUUCUAAAAGGGACUACAUGAUGAAAAACAAUAGUUUUGGCAGUUAAAGUUUGAGAAUCGUCGGUGCCGUAGAUCCGUUUGGUCAUCAGCUGUAACGAGCCACACCCAUGUCUAGCUAGAGUAGUGUGCUAGGCUCAGACUAGAGAAGAAACAGGGAACAAAGUGAUGAAAGAAUGAUCAUACCGAGGGAAUUCACUUAGAACUAACAAGAAUGAUAACAUGCUCCGACUUGAGCGAUUUAGGAACUUCUGGAAGGCUCUAGGGGAAUAAAGAUGGAAUGACUCAAAUUUUUAGGCCCGUAUGAUUUGAAAUACAUGCACACAAACCGCGAGAAAGUGUUCCUGGAAAUCUUAGCCCAAAAAAGGACGUUUAGUAAUUCUAAAAGGGACUACAGGAUGAAAAACAAUAGUUUUGGUAGUUAAAGUUUCAGAUUCGAUAAUGCCCUAGAUCCGUUUGGUCAUCAGGUGUAACGAGCCACACCAAUGUCUAGCUAGAGUAGUGUGCUAGGCUCAGACUAGAUAAGAAACGGGGAAGAAACUGAUGAAAGAAUGAUCAGACCGAGGGAAUUCACUCAGAACUAACAAUAAUGAUAACGUGCUCCGAGUGGAGCGGUUUAGGAACUGCUGGAAGGCUCUAGGGGAAUAAAGAUGGAAUGACUUCUAAUUUUUAGGUCCGUAUGAUUUGAAAUACGUGCACACAAACCCCGAGAAACCGUUCCUUGAAAUCUCGGCCCAAAAAAGGACGUUUAGUAAUUCUAAAAGGGACUACAAAAUGAAAAACAAUAGUUUUGGCAGUUAAAGUUUGAGAUUCGACGGUGUCGUAGACCCGUUUGGUCUUCAGGUGUUACGAGCCACACCCAUGUCUAGCCAGAGUAGUGUGCUAGGUUCAGACUAGAGAAGAAACGGGGAACAAAGUGAUGAAAGAAUGAUCAUACCGAGGGAAUUCACUCAGAACUAACAAGAAUGAUAACGUGCUCCGACUGGAGCGGGUUAGGAACUCCUGGAAGGCUCUAGGGGAAUAAAGAUGGAAUGACUUCUAAUUUUUACGUCCGUAUGAUUUGAAAUACUUGCACACAAACCACGCAAAAGCGUUCCUGGAAAUCUCAGCCUAAAAAAGGACGUUUAGUAAUUCUAAAAGGGACUACAGGAUGAAAAAUAAUAGUUUGGUCAUCAGGUGUUACGAGCCACACCCAUGUCUAGCUAGAAUAGUGUGCUAGGCUCAGGCUAGAGAAGAAACGGGGAAUAAACUGAUGAAAGAAUGAUCAAACCGAGGGAAUUCACUCAGAACUAACAAUAAUGAUAACGUUCUCCGUCUGGAGCGGUUUAGGAACUGCUGGAAGGCUCUAGGGGAAUAAAGAUGGAAUGACUUCUAAUUUUUAGGUCCGUAUGAUACGAAAUACUUGCACACAAACCGCGCGAAAUCGUUCCUGGAAAUCUCAGCCCAAAAAAGGACGUUUAGUAAUUCUAAAAGGGACUACAGCAUGAAAAACAAUAGUUCUGGCAGUUAAAGUUUGAGAUUCGAUAAUGCCGUAGAUCCGUUUGGUCAUCAGGUGUAACGAGCCACACCCAUGUCUAGCUAGAGUAGUAUGCUAGGCUCAGACUAGAGAAGAAACGGGGAACAAACUGAUGAAAGAAUGAUUAUACCGAGGGAAUUCACUCAGAACUAACAAGAAUGAUAACGUGCUCCGGCUGGAGCGGUUUAGGAACUGCUAGAAGGCUCUAGGGGAAUAAAGAUGGAAUGACUUCAAAUUUUUAGGUCUGUAUGAUUUGAAAUACUUGCACACAAACCGCAAGAAAGCGUUCCUGGAAAUCUCAGCCCAAAAAAGGACGUUUAGUAAUUCUAAAAGGGACUAUAGGAUGAAAAACAAUAGUUCUGGUAGUUAAAGUUUGAGAUUCGAUAAUGUCAUAGAUCCGUUCGGUCAUCAGGUGUAACGAGCCACACCCAUGUCUAGCUAGAGUAGUGUGCUAGGCUCAGACUAGAGAAGAAACGGGGAACAAACUGAUGAAAGAAUGAUCAUACCGAGGGAAUUCACUCAGAACUAACAAGAAUGAUAACGUGCUCCGACUGGAGCGGUUUAGGAACUGCUGGAAGGCUCUAGGGGAAGAAAGAAGGAAUGACUUCUAAUUUUUAGGUCCGUAUGAUUUGAAAUACGUGCACACAAACCGCGCGAAAGCGUUCCUGGAAAUCUCAGCCCAAAAAAGGACGUUUAGUAUUCUAAAAGGGACUACAGAAUGAAAAACAAUAGUUUUGGCAGUUAAAGUUUGAGAUUCGACGGUGCCGUAGAUCCGUUUGGUCAUCAGGUGUUACGAGCCACACCCAUGUCUAGCUAGAAUAGUGUGCUAGGCUCAGGCUAGAGAAGAAAAGGGGAACAAACUGAUGAAAGAAUGAUCAAACCGAGGGAAUUCACUCAGAACUAACAAUAAUGAUAACGUGCUCCGACUGGAGCGGUUUAGGAACUGCUGGAAGGCUCUUGGCGAAUAAAGAUGGAAUGACUUCUAAUUUUUACGUCCGUAUGAUUUGAAAUACUUCCACACAAACCAGGCAAAGGCGUUCCUGGAAAUCUCGGCCUAAAAAGGACGUUUAGUAAUUCUAAAAGGGACUACAGGAUGAAAAAUAAUAGUUUGGGCAGUUAAAAUUUUAGAUUCGACGGUGCCGUAGAUCCGUUUGGUCAUCAGGUGUUACGAGCCACACCCAUGUCUAGCUAGAAUAGUGUGUUAGGCUCAGGCUAGAGAAGAAACGGGGAACAAACUGAUGAAAGAAUGAUCAUACCAAGGGAAUUCACUCAGAACUAACAAGAAUGAUAACGUGCUCCGACUGGAGCAGUUUAGAAACUACUGGAAGGCUCUAGGGGAAUAAAGAUGGAAUGACUUCAAAUUUUUAGGUCCGUAUGAUUUGAAAUACUUGCACACAAACCGCGCGAAAGCGUUCCUGGAAAUCUCAGCCCAAAAAAGGACGUUUAGUAAUUCUAAAAGGGACUACAUGAUGAAAAACAAUAGUUUUGGCAGUUAAAGUUUGAGAUUCGUCGGUGCCGUAGAUCCGUUUGGUCAUCAGCUGUAACGAGCCACACCCAUUUCUAGCUAGAGUAGUGUGCUAGGCUCAGACUAAAGAAGAAAUGGGGAACAAAGUGAUGAAAGAAUGCUCAUACCGAGGGAAUUCACUCAGAACUAACAAGAAUGAUAACAUGCUCCGACUUGAGCGAUUUAGGAACUUCUGGAAGGCUCUAGGGGAAUAAAGAUGGAAUGACUCAAAUUUUUAGGUCCGUAUGAUUUGAAAUACUUGCACACAAACCGCGAGAAAGCGUUCCUGGAAAUCUCAGCCCAAAAAAGGACGUUUAGUAAUUCUAAAAGGGACUACAUGAUGAAAAACAAUAGUUUUGGCAGUUAAAGUUUGAGAUUUGAUAAUGCCGUAGAUCCGUUUGGUCAUCAGGUGUAACGAGCCACACCCAUGUCUAGCUAGAGUAGUGUGCUAGGCUAAGACUAGAUAAGAAAAGGGGAAGAAACUUAUGAAAGAAUGAUCAGACCGAGGGAAUUCACUCAGAACUAACAAUAAUGAUAACGUGCUCCGACUGGAGCGGUUUAGGAACUGCUGGAAGGCUCUAGGGGAAUAAAGAUGGAAUGACUUCUAAUUUUUAGGUCCGUAUGAUUUGAAAUACGUGCACACAAACCCCGAGAAACCGUUCCUGGAAAUCUCGGCCCAAAAAAGGAUGUUUAGUAAUUCUAAAAGGGACUACAAAAUGAAAAACAAUAGUUUUGGCAGUUAAAGUUUGAGAUUUGAUGGUGCCGUAGAUCUGUUUGGUCAUCAGGUGUUACGAGCCACACCCAUGUCUAGCUAGAAUAGUGUGUUAGGCUCAGGCUAGAAAAGAAACGGGAAACAAAGUGAUGAAAGAAUGAUCAUACCGAGGGAAUUCACUCAGAACUAACAAGAAUGAUAACAUGCUCUGACUGGAGCGGUUUAGGAACUGCUGGAAGGCUCUAGGGGAAUAAAGAUGGAAUGACUUCUAAUGUUUAGGUCCGUAUGAUUUGAAAUACUUGCACAUAAACCGCGCAAAAGCGUUCCUGGAAAUCUCAGCCCAAAAAAGGACGUUUAGUAAUUCUAAAAGGGACUACAGGAUGAAAAACAAUAGUUUUGGCAGUUAAAGUUUGAGAUUCGACGGUGCCGUAGAUCCGUUUGUUCAUCAGGUGUUACGAGCCACACCCAUGUCUAGCUAGAAUAGUGUGUUAGGCUCAGGCUAGAGAAGAAACGGGGAACAAACUGAUGAAAGAAUGAUCAAACCGAGGGAAUUCACUCAGAACUAACAAUAAUGAUAACGUGCUCCGACUAGAGCGGUUUAGGAACUGCUGGAAGGCUCUAGGGGAAUAAAGAUGGAAUGACUUCUAAUUUUUAGGUCUGUAUGAUUUGAAAUACUUGCACGCAAACCGCGCGAAAGCGUUCCCGGAAAUAUCAGCCUAAAGAAGGACGUUUAGUAAUUCUAAAAGGGACUACAGGAUGAAAAACAAUAGUUUUGGCAGUUAAAGUUUGAGAUUCAACGGUGCCGUAGAUCCGUUUGGUCAUCAGGUGUUACGAGCCACACCCAUGUCUAGCUAGAGUAGUGUGCUAGGCUCAGGCUAGAGAAGAAACAGGGAACAAACUGAUGAAAGAAUGAUCAUACCGAGGGAAUUCACUCAGAACUGAUGAAAGAAUGAUCAAACCAAGGAAAUUCACUCAGAACUAACAAUAAUGAUAACAUGCUCCGACUGGAGCGGUUUAGGAACUGCUGGAAGGCUCUAGGGGAAUAAAGAUGGAAUGACUUCUAAUUUUUAGGUCCGUAUGAUUUGAAAUACGUGCACACAAACCCCGAGAAACCGUUCCUGGAAAUCUCGGCCCAAAAAAGGACGUUUAGUAAUUCUAAAAGGGACAACAAAAUGAAAAACAAUAGUUUUGGCAGUUAAAGUUUGAGAUUCGACGGUGCCGUAGACCCGUUUGGUCAUCAGGUGUUACGAGCCACACCCAUGUCUAGCUAGAGUAGUGUGCUAGGUUCAGACUAGAGAAGAAACGGGGAACAAAGUGAUGAAAGAAUGAUCAUACCGAGGGAAUUCACUCAGAACUAACAAGAAUGAUAACGUGCUCCGACUGGAGCGGGUUAGGAAUUGCUGGAAGGCUCUAGGGGAAUAAAGAUAGAAUGACUUCUAAUUUUUACGUCCGUAUGAUUUGAAAUACUUGCACACAAACCACGCAAAAGCGUUCCUAGAAAUCUCAGCCUAAAAAAGGACGUUUAGUAAUUCUAAAAGGGACUACAGGAUGAAAAAUAAUAGUUUGGCCAGUUAAAAUUUAAGAUUCGACGGUGCCGUAGAUCCGCUUGGUCAUCAGGUGUUACGAGCCACACCCAUGUCUAGCUAGAAUAGUGUGUUAGGCUCAGGCUAGAGAAGAAACGGGGAACAAACUGAUGAAAGAAUGAUCAUACCGAGGGAAUUCACUCAGAACUAACAAGAAUGAUAACAUGCUCCGACUGGAGCGGUUUAGGAACUGCUGGAAGGCUCUAGGGGAAUAAAGAUGGAAUGACUUCUAAUUUUUAGGUCCGUAUGAUUUGAAAUACUUGCACACAAACCGCAAGAAAGCGUUCCUGGAAAUCUCAGCACAAAAAAGGACGUUUAGUAAUUCUAAAAGGGACUACAGCAUGAAAAACAAUAGUUCUGGCAGUUAAAGUUUGAGAUUCGAUAAUGCCGUAGAUCCGUUUGGUCAUCAGGUGUAACGAGCCACACCCAUGUCUAGCUAGAGUAGUGUGCUAGGCUCAGACUAGAGAAGAAACGGGGAACAAAAUGAUGAAAGAAUGAUUAUACCGAGGGAAUUCACUCAGAACUAACAAGAAUGAUAACGUGCUCCGACUGGAGCGGUUUAGGAACUGCUGGAAGGCUCUAGGGGAAUAAAGAUGGAAUGACUUCAAAUUUUUAGGUCUGUAUGAUUUGAAAUACUUGCACACAAACCGCAAGAAAGCGUUCCUGGAAAUCUCAGCCCAAAAAUGGACGUUUAGUAAUUCUAAAAGGGACUAUAGGAUGAAAAACAAUAGUUCUGGCAGUUAAAGUUUGAGAUUCGAUAAUGUCGUAGAUCCGUUCGGUCAUCAGGUGUAACGAGCCACACCCAUGUCUAGCUAGAGUAGUGUGCUAGGCUCAGACUAGAGAAGAAACGGGGAACAAACUGAUGAAAGAAUGAUCAUACCGAGGGAAUUCACUCAGAACUAACAAGAAUGAUAACGUGCUCCGACUGGAGCGGUUUAGGAACUGCUGGAAGGCUCUAGGGGAAGAAAGAAGGAAUGACUUCUAAUUUUUAGGUCCGUAUGAUUUGAAAUACGUGCACACAAACCGCGCGAAAGCGUUCCUGGAAAUCUCAGCCCAAAAAAGGACGUUUAGUAUUCUAAAAGGGACUACAGAAUGAAAAACAAUAGUUUUGGCAGUUAAAGUUUGAGAUUCGACGGUGCCGUAGAUCCGUUUGGUCAUCAGGUGUUACGAGCCACACCCAUGUCUAGCUAGAAUAGUGUGCCAGGCUCAGGCUAGAGAAGAAAAGGGGAACAAACUGAUGAAAGAAUGAUCAAACCGAGGGAUUUCACUCAGAACUAACAAUAAUGAUAACGUGCUCCGACUGGAGCGGUUUAGGAACUGCUGGAAGGCUCUAGGCGAAUAAAGAUGGAAUGACUUCUAAUUUUUACGUCCGUAUGAUUUUAAAUACUUGCACACAAACCACGCAAAAGCGUUCCUGGAAAUCUCGGCCUAAAAAGGACGUUUAGUAAUUCUAAAAGGGACUACAGGAUGAAAAAUAAUAGUUUGGGCAGUUAAAAUUUGAGAUUCGACGGUGCCGUAGAUCCGUUUGGUCAUCAGGUGUUACGAGCCACACCCAUGUCUAGCUAGAAUAGUGUGUUAGGCUCAGGCUAGAGAAGAAACAGGGAACAAACUGAUGAAAGAAUGAUCAUACCAAGGGAAUUCACUCAGAACUAACAAGAAUGAUAACGUGCUCCGACUGGAGCAGUUUAGAAACUGCUGGAAGGCUCUAGGGGAAUAAAGAUGGGAUGACUUCAAAUUUUUAGGUCCGUAUGAUUUGAAAUACUUGCACACAAACCGCGCGAAAGCGUUCCUGGAAAUCGCAGCCCAAAAAAGGACGUUUAGUAAUUCUAAAAGGGACUACAUGAUGAAAAACAAUAGUUUUGGCAGUUAAAGUUUGAGAUUCGUCGGUGCCGUAGAUCCGUUUGGUCAUCAGCUGUAACGAGCCACACCCAUGUCUAGCUAGAGUAGUGUGCUAGGCUCAGACUAGAGAAGAAAUGGGGAAAAAAGUGAUGAAAGAAUGAUCAUACCGAGGGAAUUCACUCAGAACUAACAAGAAUGAUAACAUGCUCCGACAUGAGCGAUUUAGGAACUUCUGGAAGGCUCUAGGGGAAUAAAGAUGGAAUGACUCAAAUUUUUAGGUCCGUAUGAUUUGAAAUACUUGCACACAAACCGCGAGAAAGCGUUCCUGGAAAUCUCAGCCCAAAAAAGGACAUUUAGUAAUUCUAAAAGGGACUACAGGAUGAAAAACAAUAGUUUUGGCAGUUAAAGUUUGAGAUUUGAUAAUGCCGUAGAUCCGUUUGGUCAUCAGGUGUAACGAGCCACACCCAUGUCUAGCUAGAGUAGUGUGCUAGGCUAAGACUAGAUAAGAAACCGGGAAGAAACUAAUGAAAGAAUGAUCAGACCGAGGGAAUUCACUCAGAACUAACAAUAAUGAUAACGUGCUCCGACUGGAGCGGUUUAGGAACUGCUGGAAGGCUCUAGGGGAAUAAAGAUGAAAUGACUUCUAAUUUUUAGGUUCGUAUGAUUUGAAAUACAUGCACACAAACCCCGAGAAACCGUUCCUGGAAAUCUCGGCCCAAAAAAGGAUGUUUAGUAAUUCUAAAAGGGACUACAAAAUGAAAAACAAUAGUUUUGGUAGUUAAAGUUUGAGAUUUGAUGGUGCCAUAGAUCUGUUUGGUCAUCAGGUGUUACGAGCCACACCCAUGUCUAGCUAGAAUAGUGUGUUAGGCUCAGGCUAGAAAAGAAACGGGAAACAAAGUGAUGAAAGAAUGAUCAUACCGAGGGAAUUCACUCAGAACUAACAAGAAUGAUAACAUGCUCUGACUGGAGCGGUUUAGGAACUGCUGGAAGGCUCUAGGGGAAUAAAGAUGGAAUGACUUCUAAUGUUUAGGUCCGAGGUCCGUAUGAUUUGAAAUACUUGCACAUAAACCGUGCAAAAGCGUUCCUGGAAAUCUCAGCCCAAAAAAGGACGUUUAGUAAUUCUAAAAGGGACUACAGGAUGAAAAACAAUAGUUUUGGCAGUUAAAGUUUGAGAUUCGACGGUGCCGUAGAUCCGUUCGUUCAUCAGGUGUUACGAGCCACACCCAUGUCUAGCUAGAAUAGUGUGUUAGGCUCAGGCUAGAGAAGAAACGGGGAACAAACUGAUGAAAGAAUGAUCAAACCGAGGGAAUUCACUCAGAACUAACAAUAAUGAUAACGUGCUCCGACUAGAGCGGUUUAGGAACUGCUGGAAGGCUCUAGGGGAAUAAAGAUGGAAUGACUUCUAAUUUUUAGGUCUGUAUGAUUUGAAAUACUUGCACGCAAACCGCGCGAAAGCGUUCCCGGAAAUAUCAGCCCAAAAAAGGACGUUUAGUAAUUCUAAAAGGGACUACAGGAUGAAAAACAAUAGUUUUGGCAGUUAAAGUUUGAGAUUCAACGGUGCCGUAGAUCCGUUUGGUCAUCAGGUGUUACGAGCCACACCCAUGUCUAGCUAGAGUAGUGUGCUAGGCUCAGGCUAGAGAAGAAACAGGGAACAAACUGAUGAAAGAAUGAUCAUACCGAGGGAAUUCACUCAGAACUGAUGAAAGAAUGAUCAAACCGAGGAAAUUCACUCAGAACUAACAAUAAUGAUAACAUGCUCCGACUGGAGCGGUUUAGGAACUGCUGGAAGGCUCUAGGGGAAUAAAGAUGGAAUGACUUCUAAUUUUUAGGUCCGUAUGAUUUGAAAUACGGGCACACAAACCCCGAGAAACCGUUCCUGGAAAUCUCGGCCCGAAAAAGGACGUUUAGUAAUUCUAAAAGGGACUACAAAAUGAAAAACAAUAGUUUUGGCAGUUAAAGUUUGAGAUUCGACGGUGCCGUAGACCCGUUCGGUCAUCAGGUGUAACGAGCCACACCCAUGUCUAGCUAGAGUAGUGUGCUAGGCUCAGACUAGAGAAGAAACGGGGAACAAACUGAUGAAAGAAUGAUCAUACCGAGGGAAUUCACUCAGAACUAACAAGAAUGAUAACGUGCUCCGACUGGAGCGGUUUAGGAACUGCUAGAAGGCUCUAGGGGAAGAAAGAAGGAAUGACUUCUAAUUUUUAGGUCUGUAUGAUUUGAAAUACGUGCACACAAACCGCGCGAAAGCGUUCCUGGAAAUCUCAGCCCAAAAAAGGACGUUUAGUAUUCUAAAAGGGACUACAGAAUGAAAAACAAUAGUUUUAGCAGUUAAAGUUUGAGAUUCGACGGUGCCGUAGAUCCGUCUGGUCAUCAGGUGUUACGAGCCACACCCAUGUCUAGCUAGAAUAGUGUGCUAGGCUCAGGCUAGAGAAGAAAAGGGGAACAAACUGAUGAAAGAAUGAUCAAACCGAGGGAAUUCACUCAGAACUAACAAUAAUGAUAACGUGCUCCGACUGGAGCGGUUUAGGAACUGCUGGAAGGCUCUAGGCGAAUAAAGAUGGAAUGACUUCUAAUUUUUACGUCCGUAUGAUUUGAAAUACUUGCACACAAACCACGCAAAAGCGUUCCUGGAAAUCUCGGCCUAAAAAGGACGUUUAGUAAUUCUAAAAGGGACUACAGGAUGAAAAAUAAUAGUUUGGGCAGUUAAAAUUUGAGAUUCGACGGUGCCGUAGAUCCGUUUGGUCAUCAGGUGUUACGAGCCACACCCAUCUCUAGCUAGAAUAGUGUGUUAGGCUCAGGCUAGAGAAGAAACGGGGAACAAACUGAUGAAAGAAUGAUCAUACCAAGGGAAUUCACUCAGAACUAACAAGAAUGAUAACGUGCUCCGACUGGAGCAGUUUAGAAACUCCUGGAAGGCUCUAGGGGAGUAAAGAUGGAAUGACUUCAAAUUUUUAGGUCCGUAUGAUUUGAAAUACUUGCACACAAACCGCGCGAAAGCGUUCCUGGAAAUCUCAGCCCAAAAAAGGACGUUUAGUAAUUCUAAAAGGGACUACAUGAUGAAAAACAAUAGUUUUGGCAGUUAAAGUUUGAGAUUCGUCGGUGCCGUAGAUCCGUUUGGUCAUCAGCUGUAACGAGCCACACCCAUGUCUAGCUAGAGUAGUGUGCUAGGCUCAGACUAGAGAAGAAAUGGGGAACAAAGUGAUGAAAGAAUGAUCAUACCGAGGGAAUUCACUCAGAACUAACAAGAAUGAUAACAUGCUCCGACUUGAGCGAUUUAGGAACUUCUGGAAGGCUCUAGGGGAAUAAAGAUGGAAUGACUCAAAUUUUUAGGUCCGUAUGAUUUGAAAUACUUGCACACAAACCGCGAGAAAGCGUUCCUGGAAAUCUCAGCCCAAAAAAGGACGUUUAGUAAUUCUAAAAGGGACUACAGGAUGAAAAACAAUAGUUUUGGCAGUUAAAGUUUGAGAUUCGAUAAUGUCGUAGAUCCGUUUGGUCAUCAGGUGUAACGAGCCACACCCAUGCCUAGCUAGAGUAGUGUGCUAGGCUAAGACUAGAUAAGAAACGGGGAAGAAACUGAUGAAAGAAUGAUCAGACCGAGGGAAUUCACUCAGAACUAACAAUAAUGAUAACGUGCUCCGACUGGAGCGGUUUAGGAACUGCUAGAAGGCUCUAGGGGAAUAAAGAUGGAAUGACUUCUAAUUUUUAGGUCCGUAUGAUUUGAAAUACGUGCACACAAACCCCGAGAAACCGUUCCUGGAAAUCUCGGCCCAAAAAAGUAUGUUUAGUAAUUCUAAAAGGGACUACAAAAUGAAAAACAAUAGUUUUGGCAGUUAAAGUUUGAGAUUUGAUGGUGCCGUAGAUCUGUUAGGUCAUCAGGUGUUACGAGCCACACCCAUGUCUAGCUAGAAUAGUGUGUUAGGCUCAGGCUAGAAAAGAAACGGGAAACAAAGUGAUGAAAGAAUGAUCAUACCGAGGGAAUUCACUCAGAACUAACAAGAAUGAUAACAUGCUCUGACUGGAGCGGUUUAGGAACUGCUGGAAGGCUCUAGGGGAAUAAAGAUGGAAUGACUUCUAAUGUUUAGGUCCGUAUGAUUUGAAAUACUUGCACAUAAACCGCGCAAAAGCGUUCCUGGAAAUCUCAGCCCAAAAAGGACGUUUAGUAAUUCUAGAAGGGACUACAGGAUGAAAAACAAUAGUUUUGGCAGUUAAAGUUUGAGAUUCGACGGUGCCGUAGAUCCGUUUGUUCAUCAGGUGUUACGAGCCACACCCAUGUCUAGCUAGAAUAGUGUGUUAGGCUCAGGCUAGAGAAGAAACGGGGAACAAACUGAUGAAAGAAUGAUCAAACCGAGGGAAUUCACUCAGAACUAACAAUAAUGAUAACGUGCUCCGACUAGAGCGGUUUAGGAACUGCUGGAAGGCUCUAGGGGAAUAAAGAUGGAAUGACUUCUAAUUUUUAGGUCUGUAUGAUUUGAAAUACUUGCACGCAAACCGCGCGAAAGCAUUCCCGGAAAUAUCAGCCCAAAAAAGGACGUUUAGUAAUUCUAAAAGGGACUACAGGAUGAAAAAGAAUAGUUUUGGCAGUUAAAGUUUGAGAUUCAACGGUGCCGUAGAUCCGUUUGGUCAUCAG